GCCGGGGUGGCGAAAUUGGCAGACGCGAUGGACUCAAAAUCCAUUGGACCUUGGUCCGUGCGGGUUCGAGUCCCGCCCCCGGCA
rnacentral:tRNA from 1 species